GAUGAACGCUAGCGGCAGGCUUAAUACAUGCAAGUCGUGGGGCAGCAUGAGUAGCAAUACUUGAUGGCGACCGGCAAACGGGUGAGGAACACGUACACAACCUUCCUUCAAGCGGGGAAUAGCCCAGAGAAAUUUGGAUUAAAUACCCCAUAAUAUAUUUGAUAAGGCAUCUUGUUAAAUAUUAAAGCUUCGGCACUUGAUGAUGGGUGUGCGGCUGAUUAGAUAGUUGGCGGGGUAACGGCCCACCAAGUCUACGAUCAGUAGCUGAUAUGAGAGCAUGAUCAGCCACACGGGCACUGAGACACGGGCCCGACUCCUACGGGAGGCAGCAGUAAGGAUAUUGGACAAUGGACGAAAGUCUGAUCCAGCCAUGCCGCGUGAAGGAUUAAGGUCCUCUGGAUUGUAAACUUCUUUAUAUGGGACGAAAAAGGGCAUUCUUGUUCACUUGACGGUACCAUAUGAAUAAGC
rnacentral:rRNA from 1 species